rnacentral:rRNA from 1 species
GUGGGGAAUCUUCCGCAAUGGACGAAAGUCUGACGGAGCAACGCCGCGUGAGUGAUGAAGGUCUUCGGAUUGUAAAGCUCUGUUAAUCGGGACGAAAGAGCCUAGUGUGAAUAAUGCUAGGAAGUGACGGUACCGGAAUAGAAAGCCACGGCUAACUACGUGCCAGCAGCCGCGGUAAUACGUAGGUGGCAAGCGUUGUCCGGAAUUAUUGGGCGUAAAGCGCGCGCAGGCGGAUCUGCCAGUCUGUCUUAAAAGUUCGGGGCUUAACCCCGUGAUGGGAUGGAAACUACAGAUCUAGAGUAUCGGAGAAGAAAGUGGAAUUCCUAGUGUAGCGGUGAAAUGCGUAGAUAUUAGGAAGAACACCAGUGGCGAAGGCGACUUUCUGGACGAAAACUGACGCUGAGGCGCGAAAGCCAGGGGAGCGAACGGGAUUAGAAACCCUUGUAGUCC